GCCCCGCCGCUGUCCCGCGCUCCGGAAAGGCCGCGCUGAGGGGUUCCUUAGUUCGGGGCCGACUGGGAACUGCUGGGAGAGCCCCGCGGAGGGCUGGAGCAGCUCCUGAUGGGACAGGCUGAGAGCCCCGGGGCUGUGCGCCUAAAGGAGAGAAGGCUGAGGGGUCUGAGCAGCGCUGACCCACACCUGAAGGGCGGGGGAUGGGGCCAAACCCACCUGGACACUGUGCAGCUGCUGUAGGGACUGCUGCGGGUCGGGCUGGGAGAGAUCCAGAGGGCCCUUCCAGCAACCACGUUGUGGGAUUCUGGCGCCUCGAGUGGUAUGUGUGCAAUUCUGGGCCCCUCAGUGCAGAAAAGACAUGGAGGCCCUGGAGUGUGUGUCCAGAGACAGACAGCAGAGCUGGGCAGACCCUGGAGUGCAGUCCUGUUGUGAAUGGCUCAAGGAAUAGGGAUGGUUCAGUCUGAAGGAAGCUCCGAGAAGACCUCAUAGCUCCCUACAACUCCUGAAAGGAGGUUGGAGAGAGGAAGGGUCAGCUUCUGCUCCCAGGUAACAGCAAUAGGACGAGAAGUGGUGGCUUCAAGUUGCACCAGGAGAUGUUCCAGCUGGGUAUUAGGAACCAUUUCUUCUCCAAAGAGCAGUCAGGCAGUGGCACAGCUGCCCAGGUGGGGGGUCACCAUCUGUGGGGGUGUCCCAGAGCCGUGGGGAUGUGGCACUGAGGAAAAUGUCUUCGUGAGGGGAGAAAGGCAGUAAUCACAGAGAAGUUGAAAGGAAGUGACAGAGGCAGAAGCGGGACCUCUGCUGAUGUUUCUUCCAGCAGGAUGCAUAGUAGGUCCCACCAGUGGGAAAUAAAAGCACUGAGUCACAGCUCUGAUUCAACAUGGAGCAGCACUCCCAUUGCUGGCUGUGGCUGUCAGGUAUCACUCGGAAGUACAAGUGUAUUGCCUCUUACCAGAUCUGCCAUCUACCACCUGAACCAGGGCUGUGCUGCUGUAUUGCUAGUGUUUAAAUGUUUCUCCCCUUGCACCCAGCAGAUUAAAGCUCUGUCAUGUUUGUGUGUCUGUAUGUGUGUCUGAAAAGAGAAAGAGGCUCAUUUUUUCUAUUAAAACGGAAGUAAUGUGUUAUCAUCAUAA